rnacentral:rRNA from 1 species
CCUGCCGAUAACUCGGGGAUAGCCUUUCGAAAGAAAGAUUAAUACCGAUGGCAUAAUAGAACCGCAUGGUUUGAUUAUUAAAGAAUUUCGGUUAUCGAUGGGGAUGCGUUCCAUUAGGCAGUUGGUGGGGUAACGGCCCACCAAACCUUCGAUGGAUAGGGGUUCUGAGAGGAAGGUCCCCCACAUUGGAACUGAGACACGGUCCAAACUCCUACGGGAGGCAGCAUG